ACGUAGGGGGCGAGCGUUGUCCGGAAUUACUGGGCGUAAAGGGCGCGUAGGCGGUUAUCCAAGUCAGGGGUGAAAACCUUGGGCUCAACCCAGGGCCUGCCUCUGAAACUGGGUGACUUGAGGGCAGGAGAGGGGAGUGGAAUUCCCAGUGUAGCGGUGAAAUGCGUAGAUAUUGGGAGGAACACCAGUGGCGAAGGCGGCUCUCUGGCCUGUUACUGACGCUGAGGCGCGAAAGCGUGGGGAUCAAACAG
rnacentral:rRNA from 1 species